rnacentral:rRNA from 1 species
UACGGAGGGGGCUAGCGUUGUUCGGAAUUACUGGGCGUAAAGCGCACGUAGGCGGCCUUGUAAGUCGGAUGUGAAAUCCCUCGGCUUAACCGAGGACGUGCAUCCGAAACUGUGAGGCUCGAGUAUGGAAGAGGGUCGCAGAAUUCCCGGUGUAGAGGUGAAAUUCGUAGAUAUCGGGAGGAAUACCAGUGGCGAAGGCGGCGACCUGGGCCAAUACUGACGCUGAGGUGCGAAAGCGUGGGGAGCAAACAGG